rnacentral:tRNA from 3 species
GGGGCGUUAGCUCAGCCGGUCAGAGCAAGGGACUCAUAAUCCCUGGGUCGCGGGUUCGAGCCCCGCACGCCCCACCA